UAAUACGUAUGGUGCGAACGUUGUUCGGAAUCACUGGGCAUAAAGAGCACGUAGGCGGUUAAGCAAGUCCAUUGUGAAAUCCCCCGGCUUAACCGGGGAACCGCAGUGGAUACUACUUGACUUGAGUACAGGAGGGGAGAGUGGAAUUCCAGGUGGAGCGGUGAAAUGCGUAGAUAUCUGGAGGAACGCCGGUGGCGAAAGCGACUCUCUGGUCUGUAACUGACGCUGAGGUGCGAAAGCUAGGGGAGCAAACGGGAUUAGAUACCCCGGUAGUCCUAGCCCUAAACGAUGGGCACUAAGUAGAGGGAAUCCUAUAUUCUCUCUGCCGGAGUUAAUGCAUUAAGUGCCCCGCCUGGGGAGUAUGGUCGCAAGGCUA
rnacentral:rRNA from 1 species